rnacentral:rRNA from 1 species
AGCGAACGCUGGCGGCAGGCUUAACACAUGCAAGUCGAACGCAUCCUUCGGGGUGAGUGGCAGACGGGUGAGUAACACGUGGGAACGUACCCUUCGAUCUGGGAUAACUUCGGGAAACUGGAGCUAAUACCGGAUACGCCCUUUUGGGGAAAGGUUUACUGUCGAAGGAUCGGCCCGCGUCUGAUUAGCUAGUUGGUGGGGUAACGGCCUACCAAGACGACGAUCAGUAGCUGGUCUGAGAGGAUGAUCAGCCACACUGGGACUGAGACACGGCCCAGACUCCUACGGGAGGCAGCAGUGGGGAAUAUUGGACAAUGGGCGCAAGCCUGAUCCAGCCAUGCCGCGUGAGUGAUGAAGGCCUUAGGGUUGUAAAGCUCUUUUGUCCGGGACGAUAAUGACGGUACCGGAAGAAUAAGCCCCGGCUAACUUCGUG